rnacentral:rRNA from 1 species
GAUGAACGCUAGCGGGAGGCUUAAUACAUGCAAGUCGAACGGUAACAAUUCGGUUGACGAGUGGCGCACGGGUGAGUAACGCGUACGCAACCUACCUUCAAAAGCGGGAUAGCCCUGGGAAACUGGGAUUAAUACCGCAUAGUAUUUCAAAGUCGCAUGGCUUAGAAAUUAAAGCUCCGGCGUUUGAAGAUGGGCGUGCGUGCUAUUAGCUAGUUGGUGAGGUAGAGGCUCACCAAGGCUAUGAUAGCUAGGGGGCGUGAGAGCGUGGCCCCCCACACGGGUACUGAGACACGGACCCGACUCCUACGGGAGGCAGCAGUAAGGAAUAUUGGGCAAUGGACGCAAGUCUGACCCAGCCAUCCCGCGUGUAGGAUGACUGCCCUAUGGGUUGUAAACUACUUUUGCUUGGGAAGAAUAUUGAUCAUUCAUGAUGAAUUGACGGUACCUUGCGAAUAAGCACCGGCUAACUCCG